CAAUAGCGUAUAUUAAAGUUGUUGCAGUUAAAAAGCUCGUAGUUGGAUUUCUGAUUGAGACAUCAGGUCGGGUCCGAGAGGAUCAUGUACUUUGAUUUGUUUUGAUCAUCCUUGGGGAGAGCAGUUCUGGCAUUAAGUUGUCGGGGUUGGGAUCCUCAUCGUUUACUGUGAAAAAAUUAGAGUGUUCAAAGCAGGCCUCGGCCUCUGAAUACAUUAGCAUGGAAUAAUAAGAUAGGACUUUGGUGGUCUAUUUUGUUGGUUUGCACGCCAAAGUAAUGAUUAAUAGGGAUAGUUGGGGGUAUUCGUAUUCAAUUGUCAGAGGUGAAAUUCUUGGAUUUAUGGAAGACGAACUACUGCGAAAGCAUUUACCAAGGAUGUUUUCAUUAA
rnacentral:rRNA from 1 species